rnacentral:lncRNA from 1 species
GCAAAGAUCAAGCGGAAACAGGAGCUAAUAAAUGCUCUCUGGUGAGAGAGAGAGAGAGAGAGAGAGAGAGAAAGAGAGAGAGAGACAUGCAAAUGGACCAGUUUUUAAAAAAAAAGCAGUGUCCCCUUCAGAGAGAAGAUAACAUCCAACUUUUCUUGGAAAGCACCGCAUGUUUCAGACUGUGUUUCUUUUGGAUUUAUUCUGGAGACAACAACAUCAUUAAAUUUGAGCUGAGAACUUUGUCCAGGAAGGACAGCUGACAAGAAGCACUGGACCUGAUGGAUGGCUAAUCAUGAGCACUUAAAAGACGAAGGAUUGUGAAGGCAUCUCCAUUUCAGACUGGGGAAAGCACAGAAGUAUUCUACCUAGUAGAUCAUAGAUAAAAAUAGCUAGCGUCUGCUGGUGCCAGGUACUUUUCAUGAUUCUCUCAUCUCAU